AAUCAACGCUGGCGGCGUGCCUAACACAUGCAAGUCGAACGAGAAAGGGACUUCGGUCCUGAGUACAGUGGCGCACGGGUGAGUAACACGUGACUAACCUACCCUUGAGUGGGGGAUAACUUCGGGAAACCGAGGCUAAUACCGCAUAAUACCUACGGGUCAAAGGAGCAAUUCGCUUUAGGAGGGGGUCGCGGCAGAUUAGUUAGUUGGCGGGGUAAUGGCCCACCAAGACGGUGAUCUGUAUCCGGCCNGAGAGGGCGCACGGACACACUGGAACUGAAACACGGUCCAGACUCCUACGGGAGGCAGCAGUGGGGAAUUUUGCGCAAUGGGGGAACCCUGACGCAGCAACGCCGCGUGGAGGAUGAAGUCCC
rnacentral:rRNA from 1 species